rnacentral:rRNA from 2 species
GCUGGGCUGUCCAACAGGACAUUCUGGCUACAGAAUUUCUUGACGACCAUAGAGCAUUGGAACCACCUGAUCCCAUCCCGAACUCAGUAGUGAAACGAUGCAUCGCCGAUGGUAGUGUGGGGUUUCCCCAUGUGAGAGUAGGUCAUCGUCAAGA